rnacentral:rRNA from 1 species
UACGUAGGAUGCAAGCGUUGUCCGGAUUUACUGGGCGUAAAGAGCGCGCAGGCGGUCGUUCAAGUCGAGUGUGAAAGCCCCCGGCUCAACUGGGGAGGGUCAUUCGAUACUGAUCGACUGGAAGGCAGGAGAGGGAAGCGGAAUUCCCGGUGUAGUGGUGAAAUGCGUAGAUAUCUGGAGGAAUACCGGUGGCGAAGGCGGCAUCCUGGACCGACAUUGACGCUGAUGAGCGAAAGCUAGGGGAGCAAACGGG